UACUGGUCACACCAUCUCUUACAUUAGUAAACCCUAGUUCCAUUCACAAAUGUAGCCAACAACACCCAGACCUUCCCUCUCUAAAACUUCAUUACACUUUACCCGUUAAACAUAAAGAUAUGAAAUCUGUUCAUAUCCAAAAGAAAAGCUCAGCCACACCCCCCUGCUUGUUCUCUUGUCCGAUUACCGGCGACCAGAGUCGGGUACCGGCAACACUCCGACGUUCAUCUUCAGGUGACAGUUAACCUUACACACUCGUCUCUCUCUUUCCCCUCUCGCACUGAUGAACGAACGACCGGCCACCAUCGUCGGUGGCGGCGCUCGGUGACGGUAGCAGAACCACCACAGCGGCGGCGUGUGGUGGGUGGCAUGCCAGUGGUGGUUACGGGCAGUGGCGGUGCACGGUGGCGACGUUAAUCAGGAAAAGAGAGAGAGAAGAAAGGCGGCUGUGGCGGUUCGCGGCGGCUCUAGGCCGCCAUUUCUGGCAACGCAGGCAAGUUUGCUUCCCGUGCGGGUCACGCUUCGUCAAGUCGGUGACUCGGUUGUUCCCGGUUCAGAACCGACAACAGUGGGGAGUGUUUCUCGAGUCGGUUCAGUUUCAGUUUUGGUGCGGAUACGAGUCUCGGUCAAGCUGCGGUCAUGGGUCAGAUUCAUGCUCGGUUUCAAAGUGCGGGUCAACAUCUGUCAAUUCUGGUCAACUAUCGGCUCGCACAAGUUUUGGUAUAAAAUAACGACUCGAAUACAAAGUUUAGUGUCUUUCAUAAUUAUUUAC